UACAGAGGGUGCGAGCGUUAAUCGGAAUUACUGGGCGUAAAGCGUGCGCAGACGGUUGCGUAAGUCAGAUGUGAAAGCCCCGGGCUUAACCUGGGAACUGCGGUUGAAACUACAGGACUAGAAUCUGGCAGAGGGGGGUGGAAUUCCACGUGUAGCAGUGAAAUGCGUAGAGAUGUGGAGGAACACCAAUGGCGAAGGCAGCCCCCUGGGCUGAGAUUGACGCUCAGGCACGAAAGCGUGGGGAGCAAACAGG
rnacentral:rRNA from 1 species